AACCAUUCUCACCUGCGGCUAGACCUGCGGAAGGAUCAUUACAGAGUUCAUGCCCUCACGGGUAGAUCUCCCACCCUUGUGUAUCUCUUGUUUUUGUUGCUUUGGCAGGCCGUUAGCUCGCCUAACCACCGGCUCUCGGGCUGGUGCGCGCCUGCCGGAGGACCUCCCAAACUCUGUUUGUUAGUGUCGUCUGAGUACUAUAACAAUCGUUAAAACUUUUAACAACGGAUCUCAGAUCGG
rnacentral:misc_RNA from 1 species